rnacentral:rRNA from 1 species
UACGAAGGGGGCUAGCGUUGCUCGGAUUUACUGGGCGUAAAGGGCGCGUAGGCGGACAGUUAAGUCGGGGGUGAAAGCCCGGGGCUCAACCUCGGAAUUGCCUUCGAUACUGGCUGUCUUGAGUGUGAGAGAGGUGUGUGGAACUCCGAGUGUAGAGGUGAAAUUCGUAGAUAUUCGGAAGAACACCAGUGGCGAAGGCGACUUACUGGACACAUAUUGACGCUGAGGUGCGAAAGCGUGGGGAGCAAACAGG